rnacentral:rRNA from 1 species
CCUACGGGAGGCAGCAGUGAGGAAUAUUGGUCAAUGGACGAGAGUCUGAACCAGCCAAGAAGCGUGAAGGAUGACUGCCCUAUGGGUUGUAAACUUCUUUUAUAAAGGAAUAAAACGAGGCACGUGUGCCUUUUUGCAUGUACUUUAUGAAUAAGGAUCGGCUAACUCCGUGCCAGCAGCCGCGGUAAUACGGAGGAUCCGAGCGUUAUCCGGAUUUAUUGGGUUUAAAGGGAGCGUAGAUGGGUUGUUAAGUCAGUUGUGAAAGUUUGCGGCUCAACCGUAAAAUUGCAAUUGAUACUGGCAGUCGUGAGUACAGUUGAGGUAGGCGGAAUUCGUGGUGUAGCGGUGAAAUGCUUAGAUAUCACGAAGAACCCCGAUUGCGAAGGCAGCUUACUAAACUGUGACUGACAUUGAUGCUCGAAAGUGUGGGUAUCAAACAGGAUUAGAUACCCCAGUAGUC